UAACGUCUCUCUAAUCGCACCAGCACCAGCACCAGCACCAGCACCAGCACCAGCACCAGCACCAGCACCAGCACCAGCACCAGCACCAGCACCAGCACCAGCACCAGCACCAGCACCAGCACCAGCACCAGCACCAGCCCACGGCCAAGGAACAGGAGGAGAGAGAGCACAAACAGCACAGAGGCACCGAUUUCACCUUACUCACCCUGUUUAAACGCCAAUAAAUCCACCCUCCGGGGCAUUUAUACUACAUUCACUUGUCGUGUGAUUCUUCACCCCGUGACAAUACAUUCAGAGAGCAGGUGCGUGUGCAUUCUGAGGGUCAAACUCUGCUGGGGGAGGUUCACACUAGCUUUUUCAGAGUGUUUUCAGCACAUAGUCUUUUAGAUCAGACACCGCACCGCUGAAGAAAAUGUUUCAUGUGUUUUGUUUGUGCUGGUGGAGUCUGACUGGAUUGUUUGGUGACUCAGCAUCAGUGAUCGAAGGAGAUUCUGUCCUUCUACACUGUUACAGAAAUACCUGAAGACGACGAUAUACUGUGGAGUUUUGGACCUGAAACAUCUCUGAUAGCUGAAAUCAGUAAAGCUGCUGGAAUCGUCUCCACAUAUGAUGAUGGUCCUGAUGGGAGAUUCAGAGACAGACUGAAGCUGGACAAUCAGACUGGAUCUCUGAUCAUCACAAACAUCACAACUCAACGUGUUGGACUCUAUGAACUAAAGAUACGUGGAGCUAAACGGUUAACAAAAACAUUAAGUGUUUAUGUCUAUGCUCGUCUUCCUGUUCCUAUCAUUAGCAACAACUCUAAACUGUUCUUCAUCAUCAUCAUUAUCAUCACAGCAGAAUUGUUCAUUGUUGUGUUCAGUGGCGAAUGCGAGUCAUGUGACUCUCUCCUGGUACAAAGGAAACAGUUUAUUGUCCAGCAUCAGUGUGUCUGAUCUCAGCAUCAGUCUCUCUCUACCUCUGGAGGUGGAAUAUCAGGAUACAGCUGUGUGCUCAACAAUCCCAUCAACAACCGACAACAACAGACGAGACAUCUGGACAUCAGUCAGCUCUGUCAAACAUGUUCAGGUGUGUUUGUGCGGAUAUUAACAUUGAUUAACUGAGCUGAUCUAUGAAGUUAUAUAGUGCUGAUGUUCCAUAGUGUUUGUUGUGGAUCAAACAGACAGAUUAAAUUUUGUCCAUUACAGAUCAGGGCUUACCCGUAUUGUACAUAGUGUUGAUUUCUGCUGCUGGAUAUCUGUUGAUUGUAGCUGUAGUCGUGAUCUUCUGGGUCUGCAAGAAAUUCACAAAAACUGAUCAAGAGGGCAAGUGUCGUCUUAUUUUAAACACAUAUUAUAACUCAAUUAAUAAUCUAUUAAAAUUCCAAAGUAAUGUGUAGUUUACUGGGUUUGGCAAUUUCUGUAUUUUAGUCAUAUCAGAAUAUAUGCAUAAUGACACCAGCAGAGCUC